CUCCGAUGAUGAUCCCGCCAUGCUAAUACUGAUGCACCAGACUGACAGUGGGUCUCUGGGUGCAAGUGAGUUAAACUCACCUUCUCAUACUGACUGGGUCGGUGUGGGCUGAGGAGA
ensembl:snoRNA